rnacentral:rRNA from 1 species
AGAGUUUGAUCCUGGCUCAGAACGAACGCUGAUGGCGUGCCUCAUACAUGCAAGUCGAGCGGGGUAGCAAUACCCAGCGGCGAACGGGUGAGUAACACGUAAACAAUCUGCCUUGUGGUUUGGGAUAACUACCCUAACGGGUAGCUAAUACCGAAUAUAGCCCGAGGGUCGCAUGGCCCUUUGGUGAAAGAUUUAUCGCCGCAAGAUGAGUUUGCGUCCCAUUAGCUAGUUGGCGGGGUAACGGCCCACCAAGGCGACGAUGGGUAGCCGGCCUUAGAGGGUGUCCGGCCACACUGGGACUGAGAUACGGCCCAGACUCCUACGGGAGGCAGC